GACGAACGCUGGCGGCGUGCCUAAUACAUGCAAGUAGAACGCACAGUUUAUACCGUAGCUUGCUACACCAUAGACUGUGAGUUGCGAACGGGUGAGUAACGCGUAGGUAACCUGCCUGGUAGCGGGGGAUAACUAUUGGAAACGAUAGCUAAUACCGCAUAAUAUUGAUUAUUGCAUGAUAAUUAAUUGAAAGGUGCAAUUGCACCACUACCAGAUGGACCUGCGUUGUAUUAGCUAGUAGGUGAGGUAACGGCUCACCUAGGCGACGAUACAUAGCCGACCUGGGAGGGGGAUCGGCCACCCUGGGACGGAGACACGGCCCAGACUCCUACGGGAGGCAGCAGUAGGGAAUCUUCGGCAAUGGACGAAAGUCUGACCGAGCAACGCCGCGUGAGUGAAGAAGGGUUUCGGAUCGUAAAGCUCUGUUGUAAGAGAAGAACGGGUGUGAGAGUGGAAAGUUCACACUGUGACGGUAUCUGACCAGAAAGGGACGGCUAACUACGUG
rnacentral:rRNA from 1 species